GAAAUGCGAUAAGUAAUGUGAAUUGCAGAAUUCAGUGAAUCAUCGAAUCUUUGAACGCACAUUGCGCCCUCUGGCAUUCCGGGGGGCAUGCCUGUUCGAGCGUCAUUACAACCCUCAAGCCUUGCUUGGUGUUGGGUCUCGUCCACCGGGCGUAACUGAAAAUCAGUGGCGGUGCUGCCUGGCUUCAAGCGUAGUAACUCUUUUGCGCGCGAGGAGCUCGGGGAGCGGUGGCCAUCACAGACUCCACAUCUAUGGUUGACCUCGGAUCAGGUAGGGAUACCCGCUGAACUUAA
rnacentral:misc_RNA from 1 species